CCACAGGCUAGUAGAAGGUGGCUGGACACAGCAAGACUGGUCAUUUGCAUAUCUGUCCCAGCAGCCGUCAUUCCACACGUCCAACAAGGCUUCUUGAGUCUUGGAUGCAGGAGCUGUGCUGUAGAUGGGUCCCAUGGCACCGGAGACCUCCUUUCACGGCGUGUGUCUCAGCGGAGGCCACAGAAACGUUGGUCGUGGCAGCGGCGACUAUGCUGUUGUCAGUGGGGACUCCAUUGUGUCUGCAGAUUAAACAGAAGUUAGCCCCUGUCCAGAGAGUCUGAUGGCUCAAAGAAUUUCCUGUGAGUGGAGGGACACAGCAAUUACUGGGAAACCACGCCUAUGCCUGGAGCACCUUCUAUCCAUCCCACCUUGGAGCCCAAGACCUUCCGUAGCUCUGUGGUUCAGAGCCCGUGGCCAAUCAGUUGGAAUGAACACAAGGCAGAACCUCUUUAGUAGCAUUGGAUUAGGGAACUAAGGCGGGCUGUGAACUUCAGUCUACGGUAAGCACAGCACCCAGGAAGGAAGAGACUGAUUUAGCCUAUCACAAGAGCUCCUUUUUCAUUUUUCUUUAAUUUUAUCUUAUUGUUUAUUUUGGUUUUUGGAGACUGGGUUUCUCUGUGUAGCUCUGGUUGCCCUGGAACUUGCUCUGUAGACCAGGCUAGCCUCGAACUCAAGAGAUCUGCCUGCCCCUGCCUCCCGAGUGCUGGGAUUAAAGGUGUGGGUCACCAUACUUGGCUUAUUAUUUAUUUUAAAUAAAACUGGUGCUUCAACCUCUAGAGUCAGGAGAGAGUUGGUUGGAGUUGGCAGGUAAGAAUGAGGUGUGGCCAGUCCCAGAGGAAGUGAGCGAUGGAAGAAAAAGCAGCCACAGAUGUUUGGAAAUUCCCUGGAGUCCCGCUGCUUCUCUUCUUGGACUUUUUCUUAUGACUCUCCUGAUAUGACUCUCCUUAUGACUAUUGGUGAAGUGACUCAGAACAGUGGCCAUGAACAAACAGAGAGUCUGUCACCUACCACUUCUGGCAUCCCUGGACUUUUCUGGACGUCUUUCUCUACAUACAUACAUGGUAGAAAACUCUACCUCUGCCCUCCUGGACACAACUGGCAAUAUAUCUUCUUGUGGGAAGUCUAAGUAGUGUCCAGCAACCUUGUGGCACAGUUGGGGGAAGGGUUAAGGAUCCAGGAGGGGACAGAGAUUCUACAAGAAUAAUCACAGAGUGAACUAAUCCAGACCUUUGGGGCUCCCAGAGACUGAACCACUAACCGGAGAGCAUGCAGGGGUUGGACCCAGGUCUCCCGUACUUACGCCGCAGUACAGGUACAGCUCCAUCUUCAUGUGGGUCCCCCAACAACUGGAGUGGGGGCUGUUUCUGACUCCGUUGCCUGCCUGUGGAUCCUGUUCCACUGACUGGGCUGCCUUGUCUGGCCUAGUGGGAGAGGAUGUGCUAGGAUAGGUUGGUACCUGGGGGUGGGGUGGGGCUCCCCAUUCUCAGAGGAGAAGAGGGGGG
rnacentral:lncRNA from 1 species